AGAUUGAACGCUGGCGGCAGGCCUAACACAUGCAAGUCGAGCGCGAAAGUUCCUUCGGGAAUGAGUAGAGCGGCGGACGGGUGAGUAACGCGUAGGAAUUUGCCCAGUAGUGGGGGGACAACUCGGGGGAAACUCGAGCUAAUACCGCAUACGCCCCAAGGGGGAAAGCAGGGGAUCUUCGGACCUUGCGCUAUUGGAUAAGCCUGCGUCGGAUUAGCUAGUUGGUGGGGUAAGGCCUACCAAGGCAACGAUCCGUAGCUGGUCUGAGAGGAUGAUCAGCCACACUGGGACUGAGACACGGCCCAGACUCCUACGGGAGGCAGCAGUGGGAAUAGUGGACGAAGUGGGGGACAACCCGUGACUCCAGCCAUGGCCGCGUGUGUGAGAAGCUUAGGGUUGUAAGCACUUCGAGUAGGGAGAAAGCGUGG
rnacentral:rRNA from 1 species